ensembl:snRNA U2 U2 spliceosomal RNA
AUUGCUUCUCGGCCUUUUGGCUAAGAUCAAGUGUAGUUUUUUUGUAUAAUAAUGUACCUUUUGGUUUUGUAACUAGGCUUUGAAUAAAAAGGCUUUCAGAAGCAUUGGUGUCUAGGGAAAAUAGACAAACUUCG